rfam:Camelus ferus unplaced genomic scaffold scaffold224, whole genome shotgun sequence.
CGCCCGGUAUCCUGGAGCUGAGGACUCGGAAAACCAUGCAGUUGAGGCGAGGCUUUGGCUGCUUUAGAGGCGCUUCUCCUGG